ACAGCCAUGACACUAGGCAGCAGCUGGAGAACCCCAGUGACUGACAUGUCUUUAUCCGUGUGACCGAAGGCUUUCUGCAGAGCUUGAGUGCCCUGGUGGCAGCCUACAAUUAAUACUUCAAGCCAGAGUGCAAAAGGAAGGGCAUUCCAGAUGGAAAUAACGUUAAGAGUCCACCAACAACCAGCACACCACCACAGCUGCUUCUCAGGGAGGACACGUUGCUCAGCUGGGCAGCAGUGCAGAGAGUGGCUGAGAUACUAGGAGAAUAAGCUGUAGCCUGACUGGAAAAUCUUGAAGGCAACAACAGAGAUGGAACAGCAACUCAAAGAGCGGCCUGACGAGGGAGUGUUUUUGCCUGAGAGCGGACAGGAGAGCUGGGUAUCAGAUGAACAAGGUCCUGCACAAGGUGUGGUCCUGGGGAAGAAUAAAGGGCCCUCCUCAGAAUGGUGUUCUCACCUCCGGCUGCACAGAAUUACCUGGGGAGGCUGUGAAAAACUCCAGUGGCUAAGCCUCAUCUCAGCCAACGUCAUCCAUCUCUGUGGGUGAGAUCCAGGCACUGGGAGCUUUCCAUGUGCAUCCAGGAUUAACAAACACUCCCUUAGACAAAUGCUUUUGUUCCCUGCGUCAGUAGGAAUGGAUGAGAGUCUGAGACAUUUAGAAACAGGGAGAUUUCAAGACAGAGGAAAUUGAUCUCUUCAAUAAAGAAGAUAAGGUCAUCUGUUAAGAACAAGUGGAUAAUGACCAGUUUGGAGCCAAAAAUAAAGUGCAAAAGGUUUAGAACAGCCAUCAAGUUGAAAACAAAUGUCCAGCAAACGUCCCCGCAGUGCUCCCGCUCCUAUGUGACGAGGUCGCGUGAUGAAUGGCGCCAAUGAAAUACAGCUGCUGCUGCUGGAAGACGAUCCGAUAACUCAUCAAGGUCGAAACUUUAAAACUUAAAAGCAAGAAAACUACAAUGGUUAAGUCAACUUUGGAAAAUAAAUCACACGGAGAGUGACAUUAGUUGUGAGGAUUAAACAGUAGGAACA
ensembl:lncRNA